rnacentral:lncRNA from 1 species
UGAGAAAUAAAUGUACAUAGUCUGUAUUAAAAUCAAACAAAAAGAAAACUCAGCUUGCAUACUUGUGCAAACAAGUGGACAAUCACUUCUACAGGAUUGUUCAAUUUUUUUACACACAAGUUCAUCACCUUGCUGUGAGAUUAGCAUGUGUUCGAUUCUUGGAAAGGAACAGAUCAGUUUUUGUUGAGUUUGUUGAAAGUCAGUUUGAUGAAUAUUUGGAAAACUUGAGAAAUCCAAAUG